GUUUAUAUAAUGCAGUGUGUUUGUGUAGUGUGCAUUAUAUAAACACACUGCACAAACACAUUGCAUUAUAUAAACACACUAUACAAAUAAACACACUGCAUUCACUAUACACACACUACACAAAUACACACACUUUGCAUUUAGUAUAUACAGCAUUCACUUUACGCACACUAUACAAACACUCUGCAUUCAUUAUAUACACACUACACAAACACACACUGCAUCCACUACACACACACUACACAAAAACACAGCAUCCACUAUACAAACACACACUGCAUCCUCUACACACACUACACAAACACACACUGCAUCCACUACACACACACUACACAAACACACACAGCUCCCUGUCUAAACCCACUGCAUCCACUACACAUGGCAUGUAUAUUUUGUGCAUUUACCGUUAGAAAUAGUUGUUGG